rnacentral:rRNA from 1 species
CUACGGAGGGUGCAAGCGUUACUCGGAAUCACUGGGCGUAAAGCGCGCGCAGGCGGCUAUUUAAGUUGGAUGUGAAAGCCUACGGCUCAACCGUAGAACUGCAUCCAAAACUAUUUAGCUAGAGUGUGGGAGUGGAAGAUGGAAUUAGUUGUGUAGGGGUAAAAUCCGUAGAGAUAACUAGGAAUACCAAAAGCGAAGGCAAUCUUCUGGAACACUACUGACGCUGAGGCGCGAAAGCGUGGGGAGCAAACAGAAUUAGAAACCCCAGUAGUCC